rnacentral:rRNA from 1 species
GACAGAGGUGCCAAGCGUUAGGCGGAAUCACUGGGCUUAAAGCGUGUGUAGGCGGACUGUUAAGUACCUUGUGAAAUCCCACGGCUCAACCGUGGAACUGCUCGGUAUACUGGCGGUCUUGAGCUGCUUAGGGGUCGUCGGAACAAACGGUGGAGCGGUGAAAUGCGUAGAUAUCUGGAGGAACACCGGUGGCGAAGGCGGCGUCCUGGACUGCAACUGACACUGAGGAACGAAAGCCAGGGGAGCAAACGGG